CCCCUAGAUGUUCUGGGCCGCACGCGCGCUACACUGAACAGUUCAACAAGUCUUAACCUUGGCCGAUAGGUCUGGGUAAUCUUUGAACGCUGUUCGUGAUUGGGAUAGACCUUUGCAAUUAUGGGUCUUCAACGAGGAAUUCCUAGUAAACGCAAGUCAUCAGCUUGCAUUGAUUACGUCCCUGCCCUUUGUACACACCGCCCGUCGCACCUACUGAUUGGAUGACUCGGUGAAAAAUUGGGACUGUGAAGAACACUGCUUAAUUGCGGCGUUUUUUAUGGGAACUUUUUUAAACCUCGUUAUCUAGAAGAAGGUGAANUCGUAACA
rnacentral:rRNA from 1 species